rnacentral:misc_RNA from 1 species
GACAGCCAACUCCAUUGUUAUUGCAAUAUGGCAAAAAAGAUUCCACAGACUCCGUUUUCUCAUCCACCUAUGGAGGCAGCUCAUAACGCAACCACAGCCACCACCAACUUCUCCGGCGAUCUGUACGCUCAUUAUCAAAUCGCCAAUCAAAAUUCUCGUGAAUUACCUAAACCCGACGUUCAAAUUAUCACCUCCGGCGGAAUACGCAUUCCGGCUCACAGUAGUGUCCUGGCCUCCGUAUCAUCAGUACUGGAGAAUAUCAUUGAGAGGCCACGCAAACAUAGCAGCUCCGAGAGAAUUAUUCCCAUCCUUGGCGUUCCUUGCGAUGCCGUUGCGGCGUUCGUUGGGUUCAUAUAUUCCUUCAGGUGCGGUGAGGAGGAGCUGGAGAAGUAUGGGAUCCAUCUACUGGCAUUAUCCCACGUUUACCUGGUCCCCAAUCUGAAGCAGAGAUGCGCCAAGGCUGUGGGUGAACUAUUGACUAUUGAGAAUGUGGUGGACGUGCUUCAAUUGGCAAGGCUCUGCGAUGCGCCUGAUCUUUACCUCAAAUGCAUGAAGUUUGUCUCUGGCCAUUUCAAGGCUGUAGAAAAGACUGAAGGCUGGAAGUUCAUGCAAAAUCAUGACCCAUGGCUGGAGCUCGAGAUUCUCCAAUUCAUCGAUGAAGCUGAAUCGAGGAAAAAGAGAACAAGGCGGCAUAGGGAGGAGCAGAGCUUGUACAUGGAGCUGAGUGUAGCAAUGGACUGCUUAGAGCACAUAUGCACCGAAGGGUGCAUGAGCGUCGGGCCGUAUGACAUGCAGCCCACCAAGAAAAGAGGCCCGUGCAGCAAGUUCUCCACGUGUCAAGGUAUCCAGCUUUUGAUCAAGCACUUCGCCGCCUGUAGGAAUCGGGUUAAUGGAGGGUGCUUCCGUUGUAAGCGGAUGUGGCAGCUACUAAGGCUUCACUCUUCCAUGUGUGACCAGCUCGAGUCUUGCAAAGUUCCUCUCUGCAGGCAAUUCAAAUUAAAAAUGCAACAAGAGAAAAAGGGAGAUGAUGCACUAUGGAGGUUAUUGGUAAAGAAGGUAGUGUCAGCCAGAGUUAUGUCUUCUCUCAAACUGCUCAAGCGGAAAAGAGAAGAGCAACUGAGGGAGACAAUACAGGACCAUGGGAUUAGGACCUUCAGAUUAUAAUUCAACAAGAAGCGGCAUGGUGCAGCAAGAUUCAUUAUAAUAUGUGUUCUUUUUGUGGAUAUAGCAUUUGGGUUAGUCCUUUGCACUCCGUUUGGUUUUAUUCAGAGUCAGUGAAGAAGUAGAAGAAAGUGUCUAUUAGAUAAUGAAGUUGAGUGAAGUAUUCUGUAUAUAAAGGAAAAGGUAGUAAUACAAUUUUCUUUUUAAAUGCAAAGUAGCUGAUCAUAAUUUGCCCUUCAUUU